GCGGUCCUGAACUGCUUGUAGUAACCCACAAUUCAUGUUUUAUUUUAGGAGGUAGGUCUCUGUCAGAGUGCAGAACCUCCUUGGCACUCCAGCAGUCUCCCAGGAAGGUGGCGAACAUCCCAUUAUGUGUGGUCUCAUCCUGACACCACGAAGGACUCUGUAAGGGGCAAGCCUUCAUUGAGAGAGGGAGAUACCUCGAUGCACUUUCACCUGAGGAUCUCCCCAGCAAUAAGUGCUCCAUCUUCAUCUGUCCUGAAGAUCUCUAAGAGAGGCUGAAGGCUUGCCAGUACCAUGCACAAUAUCGCUUCAAAACCAGAAUGGAGACAACUUCCAGAUCAGUAUGGGCUAACUGAUCUAAAGGCAAAGUGCCUAUGCAUCAUUCCUUAAUAGCAUACUUGUUCCUGAUGAUGACUGCUUAUAGUAAAUACACCAGUCUUAAGGGGGAGAUGUUGGUCAACAAAGCUUCCAUGCAAUUUCACAAGAAGAGCUACAUUAAUUCACAGUAGGUGAAUAUCCGUCCCCUUGACUUCACUUUGUUGGUCAAAUAAGUAAAAAACUUCCAAAGAAUACAGGACUGCACAGCUGAAAAUCUUUAAAACUGGCAUUGCUUAAAAAAACAUUGACUGGCUGCAUGGGAUUCAUCACACCAGCCUGGGAUGUCUUCAGUGCAGGCUUCAGCAUGUGAACUUACCAUGCCUUCUUUGCAGUUAGUGCUAAGAUACCAUUUCCCUGAGUCACUUUCCAGCUUCGGGAUGAGAUGAGCUGUACCCUGGAGGUGGUUACUUCUUUCAGUCAGCUGUUAAAAGAAGCUUAAGUGAUCAGCUUAGACAUAGACAGGCAAAACCGACAAGUGAAUCCCAUGUGUUUUAUCUAGAGGUGAUCAUUCUCUGUAGACAGUGUUUAUUCAGUAUUUCCGUUAUGACCAGAAGUCCCCUAAAAGCCUCCACAUUUCAGAAGAUAAAAUAAUUAUAUUGAUCACAAAUUUCGUCACUAACAGUUACUCUGAGGAGCUUUACCAAACUGACAUGUCACAGCAUUCCUGAUGCUCAGCUUACUUAAAACCAGAUCACAGAGAGUAAAUGCAUCAUAUGGAAGAGCCACCUGAUGAAUCAACAAGAUCUAGAAGAAAAGGACAGAAAAUGACCUUUCAAGCAAAACAGUAGCUAAAAUGCUUUGCCUCACAUCAAAACCCAGCGAUGCCCCAUAACAUUCAACCUUUUGCUAUAUUUUGAUGACCACAUUUUGUUUAAAAAAACAAUACCUGAAGGGCGAUAUUUUAUUAAUCACCAGCCCAAGGGUGACUAGUACUUUUCAUUUCAAUCAUCUAUUUUGACCAGCGGGUGUCUUUUCUUAAAUUAUAUGCUGCAUUGUGAUGCCUCUUCCCACGGACCUUUCCCUGGCAUUUCUCUUGACAUGUCAGCAGCAACUCCGUGAGAUCUUGGCUUUGCCGUCGGAGCUAACUUAAGAAGUUGCCAACGCCAUUUCAUCAUUUCAGUCGCUCAUGUGGUCCUCUUUGCUGUCACAGCCUCCUUGGUGAUGCUACUGCCAGAAACCAGAACUGAUUCACUUUUUCAGGAGGAGUGUGACUUUUAAACCGAUGUGUGGCUCAGCCCUGCAAACCCUUGUUCUGUCAAUAGGAGCUACCCACGGAGUGGGUAGUGCUCUGCAGUGUGAAGCCAGUUAUGAGGUGCCAGGGAAAGGAGGAGAGGGAACAUU